UUUAUGUUGUGCGAAGGAUAAAAUCAUAUUUACAUCAUUAAUCAUAAUGUAAGUUAUUACAUUUAUAAAUAUUUGUUAGGUACUAUUUAUUUUAUAUAUAAAUUCAAGUGAAUUUUAUUUAUAAUAUUAAAAACUUAUUGGUCAUAUAUAUAUAUAUAUAUUUAUAUCAAGAAGAUUUGAUAUUCUUUUAUGUUUUACUUAAUAAAAAAAAAUGUUAUUACACUUUAUACAUUGAACUAGGCAAACAACUGGCUACCAUGUCAAUCGAUUUCAUAUUUAAGAUUUUUCCUGAGAAGAUUUCCCUGAAGAACUCGCUGGUGAAGCAGAAGAGGAAUUUUUGGAAUUUGCAUUGUUGUUUGUACUACGCUUCUCUUGUUUUGCCUUUUUCAUCAUAUCCUUCAAUCUCCUAUCUGCACUAAUGAUAUGAAUGUUCGGUAUGAUCUUCGGACCACCACCUAUGCCAGAUGGAAAACUAUUUCUAUUAAUAGGUUGUGAUUGAUUUACAUUAUUUGAUGAUGAUUUGUAUUUUUCUGAGUGCUUCGAGCCUAAAGAAAAUGAAAUGAUAACAUAAUGGUAUUUUAUGUACUGAAUAUCAUGUACUACUGUACUUACUUGAAUUAGGUUUCUUUUGCUCUUUGGAUUUACUCUCUAUUACAGUCUUUGGUGAGCUUCUUUCUUUUGGUGCCUAAAAUAGAUUAUAAUGAAAGCAUUAAGGUUCUCUAUGUAUAUAUCUGUGUAUUUAAAUUUUGGAUUUCUGCAAAAUGCAAAUGCAACAUAAUAUGGUUGAAUACACACACCUGAGAUUUUGUACAGUUUGAACAAUACCACACUAAUCUUGGAACAUCUA